ACCAUCUUCGAAUUCCCUCGAUCACAGUAGCCGAAUCCACUCUAGGUGGAUGCAAUUGGGAACCACCACUUGUCUCUUGGCCUUUUUUAUUCCUUUAAUAAUUUGAAAAAAAAAUCCUCAUUUCCACUUGGAUCAAUCCAGACUUCCCCACAUUUCUUCAAAUUUCUAGCUCCAGAAACCCUAAAUGUGAAUCCCAAGUACUUUUAUUUCUUGGAGAAUUCGAUCCUUCGAAGUGGAAACCCUAGUUUUCUGAAGCGAAUCUUGGGUUUAAACCCUUGCAGUGGAAUCGGAUCCAUCGAUCGGUUGCUGUUGAAUUCUAGGUCAGCAGUGGAUGAGUUUAGGCUAGGAGCUGCAAGAAUCGGUUUUGGACUAAUUUUUUGGGGGUUAUAACUUUGAUUCGGAGCAGAAAAGACCCAACUUUUUGCAGAAUUUGUUGGGUUCUCGCAAAGGUUUCGUUUGCAAUCAUGGCCUUUUUGGACUCGGUUUCUUGUGAUUCUUUGCGAAAAUGAGUAGUAAAAGGGAGGAAGAGAGAAAUGAGACGAUCAUCAGAGGUCUCUUGAAGCUUCCUCCCAAUAGAAAGUGCAUCCAUUGCAACAGCCUGGGUCCGCAGCACGUGUAUACAAACUUUUAGACUUUUGUCUUCAUGACUUGCAGCGGGAUUCAGAAAUGAUUUGUGUUCUCCACAUAUGCUUUCUCUGAUUCUGGAGGAAAGAUUUUGUUAGAGUAUUUCUAUACUAAAUUGAUCAGUUGUUAUUUGAUUAUGAUGAGAUGCAUAUAAGUGUAUUUAGUUUGAUGGGGCAUUGAUGUUUUGAGGAUUGGACUGGACCUGAUGUCAAGCUAUCUUUUGUUGGCACUGCUGGCUUAUUUGUUUAGUUGUGAGUUUACUCACUGUGUGAAAACAGUGUCCGUGGCUAAAUUUACUACUCAAGAAGUUGAGGCUCUUCAAAAGGGUGGUAAUCAGUGUGCAAGGUAAAUGUCUCUAAAGGACUGGGACAUGCAACAAAUGAGAUUACUUGAUAGCAGCAAUGUCUACAAGAUUAGGGAAUUCAUAAAAAAUGUUGAUGUGGAUAAGAAAUAUCCUUGAGGGAGGUCCUCUGACAAGCGACCUAGAUACAUGCAGAGCUGUAAGUACCAUGAAGAAGAACACAGGAGGGCCAUUUCUUAUCAUUCCUUUCCUCAGUCCACCUUAUGAAUAUCAAUAUGAAGAAAGGCGCGACAGAAAGCAAAGUGGGAUGUUGAGUAGAAAACCUGGUUCAAAUCGUGGGCAUUAUGAAGGGAAGAUUUCUCGCUUCAUAUACAGUCCAGGUCGUCAGGGAGAGGAAAUGUAUGAGGACAGAUUUGCCAAUGAAAAUUAUGCUUUGAGGAAUUCAGACUACUCAGGUCUAGCAGAGGAGAUCUGCUUAGGAUUGAUGGUCAGUCACCAAACAUUGAAGAUGAAGGAUAUAGUAGCUCUCCUUCACAACAAGCAAGGAAUAUCUUAAUUGAAGAUGGACAGCCCCAGACAUUGAAUAUAUACUCUGAGACAAAUGUUAACAAUAAUUUAGAUGGAUCCGACACUUGAGAACUGCAUCAUCAGGCAGCUUUGGAUCUUCUGAGAGCAACUCAGUAUAUCUGAAGUCAGUUAAUUCAGGCAGCUUAAUUGAUAUAGUCCCUAAGCCUGAGCAUGCUCCUGGAACCCAGCAAUCUGAGCCAUCCAUAUCCCCCGGUUCACAGUUAUAUGCUUCUGCACAUGCCAUGAACCAGGACCCUUUCAGUCUAUCAAUUGAGCACCAAUCAAUCACUUCCUUGACUCCAUCUAUGGAUUUGUUUGUGGAUAUCGUCAGUCCUCAUCUACUACCCCAUCUGAGCAGAAAACUUUGGCUGUUCCCUCACCAGAAACUGUUGGAUGGGCUACAUUUGACUUACCUCAUCAAGUGGGACCUAGUUCUGAAACAACUAAGGGACUUCCUUCUGUGGUGCCUCCUGGUGGAGAGUUACCUAUGGGGAAAACCGAUUUAUUUGCAUCAAUAAAUAAUGACUCACAGUGGUUUUCAGUACAAAAUUCUGCCACUCAUGAAUCUUCAUUAUCAAUUACUGAUCAGUGGUAAGUGGGUUUACAUGAAGUUAAAGGACUUACAGAUACAAACAGCUCUCAGGUAAGGAAUAUUUUAAUGUGGAAAAACCAGUGACAAUAAGUGCUUUUUCUGCUUUUCUCCCAUAUGUUAUAGUCUCUGAGGUGAGGUGGAGAUGUCAACAUAAUGAUUGAUUUGCAACUUACUGUUGUUAACCUUCAGAAGUUCAUAUCUGCCUAACUGUUUUCAACCCAUCAAAGGUUGCUUUCUUGUACUCAAGUGUUUCAACAAAAGUUUCAGAGUGCUAUGGGUACAGAGAUGGACGUCAGACAUGUCAUUUCAUUGGAAGCUUGCAUGUGAAUCAUGUUUAGUAUGUUAUAAGCAAAAUUAGUAACGGAAGUAAGUUUUGACUUAUCUGGACCUCUUGGACAGUGAAGAACUCAAAGUUGUAGAUUACGCAUAUUUGUCUUAAAAGAGAUGGGGAAUUAUCUAUAUAAAGAGAACAUGACUCGUAUGCCUUCUCAUUUAACAAUAACUGAAUAUUAUAGAUUGGAGUUCUGAAUUUGCAUUCAUUUGUUCGUAGUGGUUUAUGAUAUUCCCAAGUUUAGUUAACCUUUGGUGAAUUGGGUUUGAACUUAGAUGCAUGUUUUUUAUAUUCGUUAUUGAUACAAGUUGCUUGAAUUAUUUGUGGUUAUGCCUCAGAAAAUCAUUUCAAACACCAUAUCGCAUAGGUACUUCCAAGUUCAUCCUUGCUUGUGUGUUAUAAAAUGGGAAAUGAGGUCUAGCACAGCAAUUUUCCUUUUAUCCUGGUGUAGAAUAUGGUAGUUGUUCUUCAACAUGUGAUGUUUAUUACUAAUAUCUAAUGAGGACUGUCUCUACUACUUCUCACAGAACUCAGGUGCGUUAAAUAACAAUGUGGGUUUUUAGCUAUAUAGUUGCAAACUCUUUGAGCUAGAUCUCUAUGAUUCUGUACUUUGCUCAAAAUUGCAUCUUUUAUCUUUGUUGCAGUUUUUGGACAUGAGCUCACUGCAAGCAGCCUUGCCAAAUCCACAGUUGCCUACUGCUUUCCUUAGGAGGUUUGUCUCAGACAUGGUUUCCUCAGAACUCAGAACAUAUGUUCCUUCUGUACCUCAAGGACGGCUAGCAUUUAUGGCAGGGCAUGUUCCAGGAUCCCAGUUGCAGUAAGUUGCUUUCAUCAACAUAUUGUUUCUGAGAUUGGUGUUUUGUAGUAUAAAUAUAUGGUGAUAUCAAAGGAAUAUACCUGCACAAGGCCCAAUAGCAUCUCUUGGGGGGAAUCCAUUUGCAUAGGAAAGUGGGAGCGAACAUUUUUGUUUUUGGUUGUGCGAGAACAAAGUUCAGAAACGAACAAACGCUAUAGUAGAAGCACCGGCCAUCACCAAGCGACUAAUAGCUGAAGGAAACUCAUUCAUUCCGAUUGUCCGCCUCUGAGUUGUAGUAGCCAUUUUGGCAAGAUAAUUUGCUAGUUGAUUAGCCUCUCUAAAAACAUGGUUGCAAGAGAAGCUCUGAAGAUGUUCUGUAAUGCUUUGAUGUUCCAAGCAACUGGGUGUAAUGAUGUAGUUUCCGUUAAUUCAAGCAAUAGCUGUAGUGGAAUCAUCACCUUCCAGAACAAUCCUCUCUGUUUGGAAAUGCUGAAUAGCUGCUUCAGUCUGAGCCAUGCCGCCACUAUCUCUACAACAGGAAUAGAACUAGAUUGAAGUGGACAAGAACCGGCUAGAGGAAUCCUUCCCAAACUGGUGUGAAAAACAAAACCUGCACCCGUAUGGCUUUGACUGAAAGUGCCAUCAAAGUUAAUUUUAAUGAAACCUGGUUGUGGAGGUUGCCAAUGAACAAGGAUUUGUUGACAAGAUUUUACAAAGUCCUGCAGUGCAAGAUAACCCUGGUUCCCCUGGUUGAAAGUGAAUAUUUACUAUGGGCAUUUCUUGUGGUGGCAUUUGACAUGCUGCAACUUUCCUGUGUUAUUAUCUGUUUAUCUGAAUCAUAUACUUGGUAUAUUGUUUGUGUGUUCAUUCACAAUAAAACUAUGCCAGUUUGUGA